UACGUAGGGUGCGAGCGUUAAUCGGAAUCACUGGGCGUAAAGCGCACGUAGGCGGCUCGUUAAGUCGGGGGUGAAAUCCUGGAGCUCAACUCCAGAACUGCCCUCGAUACUGACGAGCUCGAGUCCGGGAGAGGUGAGUGGAACUGCGAGUGUAGAGGUGAAAUUCGUAGAUAUUCGCAAGAACACCAGUGGCGAAGGCGGCUCACUGGCCCGGUACUGACGCUGAGGUGCGAAAGCGUGGGGAGCAAACAGG
rnacentral:rRNA from 1 species